UCCAGACACAACUGGAUUCCAGGAAGAAAAGGUCAGAAGCUCUUUCUCCAUUUCCCCUUCUCAGAAACCUGCAGAGAGCAACAAGCUCACCCCUCAUCUUCCUUCCAAGGUCCUUGGUGCUCCUUUUAGGAGACUAAGCCCUUUCCAGCCUUUUCACCAGCUCUGUUGCCCUUUUCUGGACUCAUUCAAGCACCUUCAAACCCUUCCUAAAUUGUGUGGUUCAGAAAAACAUGCAUGAUUCAAGGUUCCUGACUCGAUUUUGGUGACAGUUUCGUGACAAUAGUGUAUGAAGUCUUACCAUAAGGUUGUCUCUUCCUAUAACAGAGUCGGCAGUUCUUCCUAUUAGUGGUCGUCACUAAACAUUGGUGUAAUUAGUGUGUGUGCCCAAGUUCUGGCUACUGAGAGAAGAUACCAGAAGCUGCCCUCAUGUUGAACAGAGUCAGUUCCAGCCAGCUCCAAGACAGCCACAACUCUGGCCAAAGCUGAGGUCAGCAAUGAUGUUGCCAGUGCCCCUGUGAUAACCUGUUGAAAAAAAAGAAUUCAAGAAAGAACUGUCUUGGAUUACACUAUGCAGACUCUACUGAAGUUCAGGAGAUAACUUGAAGCAGAAAGUUCUAUUUGCUCUACCACAAAAUGCUUAAGUGAUACCUCAGGUCAGGGGAGACUCAAGUUGGAAGCAUGCAUAUAAGUAAACCUGCCACCUGAAAUUCCGUUUUAGAAUGGACCACAAUUGCUGUUGAUAAGCAAGAGCACAGCUGAUAUUAAUCUUCUGACUUUUUGAACUCAGGAAGGGCAAAAGCUCAGAGUAUGCCCUGAGAGAUUGCUCUGUGGUGUACACACAGACAACGUGUUCAUUAGUGAGAGAAAAUGGAGUACAGCUGAGAGCAGGAAAUCCACUAGAGGUGCAGGACAUUGUCUACAGAAAAAUAUCAGAAGGAGCACUG